ACCUCUCGCUGCUGCCUUUAAUUUAGAGGAGCCACUCUGAAUAGAAAGCUUGCGCUCAGGAGCACCUGCCGGAAGGAAACUCAGGUGAAAAUGAAGCAGUGGCAUGUGUCAGCAGGUCCCACACAGAGCAGGAGGAGCAGAACGGAGACAAGCAUUAUACAGAGCCCUCUGCCAAAGUUUGGACGGAAGUAACACAAGGUCUCAUUAUGGACUUUCCAAGAAAUGGAGAAAUACAAACAAUAUUCUUAAACCAUCAUUCCUCUCCAAGUGGUUUCACAGGCUGUUGCCACAGUCUCAGCAUUGUAGACCAGAACAUCCUGGAUACUCUGUUCAUACAUUUACCAAAGCAAGACACCCGAGCAUAUGCCAAACUAUUCCUGGAAGACUGAAAUGCAGGAUGAGAGAUGUAAUCCUCCAAGAACUUUCAGGAUUCUGUGAAGAAGCUGUUGAAGUAAGUAAGCCAAGAGACUUGGGAUCUAAUCCUGCCAUCCUUUGCACUUAAGUUCCUUCAUCCAAGGUCUCCAGUUGCGGAGUAGCUUCACUGCAUUGACACAUCAAAAAAUCUUCCAUGAAAUUGGAAAUGACAAGGUUGCCGAGAUACCGAAAGCUAACUGUUUAUGGAUUUUCAAGUCUCAUGUUGCCUAUCACUUGCAGCAUGUGGAAAAUUAUCUGAAGAAGUGGAAAUGAAACCAUGCUUUAAUGAGAUGACAUGCUACUUCACCACUAAUAAUCUCAAUGGGAAAGCAAAUACUAGGCCUACUGGCUACAAGUUACUAUUUUCUGCAGUUCUAAAAAUUGCUUUUUCUGAUAAACAGGUACCAUUAAUGUUCCACCAGCACCCGUAAUGAAACUGUGCGUAGUUUUGCUGUGUUUUUAUCUUUGAUUUAGACUGCGAACCAUAUGUAACAUUUGGAAAGAAAAAUUCCCCUUUCUCCAUGAGAAGCCCUGACAUGUGGCACUCAUUUAGGCAAAGAAUUCAUGCAGAGACAUGGAGAGGUCCUUAUGAUUUUUCAUUUCAGUUAUGAAAUAUGCCAUUUUUGUUAAGCAAUCUCAUGCCUGGAGAAUCUCCUUCUUAUUUGUCUAACUUAGUCCCUUCCAAAGUGAAGACAUCUUUCUCCAGUGUACGUGAAGAAAGGAGACAUUCAUGGCUGAAUGAGGUGUAAGGAACAUGGGACAAAUGUAUUUUACUCAGUGAAGAAAUUAAAAAAAUCAUAUUCCAUUCUGUAAAAAUGACCCGCCCUAUCAGGUAUUAAGUGUGAAAUUAUUUUUCCUCUCUCCCAUUUUCUUCACCUCCACCCCCUGAAACUUCUAGUUCCAGACCAAAAAAAAAAAAAAACAAACCCAAAAAAAACCCCAAAAAACAGUUCAUGCUUCACGGAAAUCCAGAGGAAAAAAAAGAAAAGGAAAAAAAGGAAAUGUUAGGGAGGUCACCAACAUAACCCACUUAUACACAAGGAUGUAAACACCAAAAGAAACAUUUUGCUCCCCAAAACAGUCUUUUCAAUCACUUCUUCAGACUGAAUUGUGAUUUAAAAAAAAUUAUUCUUUUUCUAAACGAAAGAAAGGUUUUAAACCAAAUGCUUAUUAGACUGGCAUGGUUGCUCAGCUCAUUAAGAGCUAUACCAAAAAUAACAGAAGACAACCUCAUCACAGAGUAAUGAAAUCCAAUUGAAACUGUUACUUUUGGCAUUUCGCUUAAUCUCUUAUGCAUACAUGUGAUGUCAAAGUUUCUGGAUUUGAGAAAAAAAUGUAUUUUUUUUUCUACCUUUUUGGGUACAGCCUUUACGUUCUAAAGUGCAUGUUUAUGCAUCAUGUCCUUAAGUCUUUCCGAU
ensembl:lncRNA